UGGUGACAACCGACCACAAAGUGCAUCCAAAAACAUUACAAGAAACACGGGGAAUAUUGAAAUUCAAGAAAUAUGUGAGGGGAAAAUUGUUCUGGGAUACGGGGAAUCUGUUGUUGUCUACACCGACAAUGACCGCCAGAAGAAGAAAUGCAAAAACAAGAUUAAAACUCCUAAAGGCACCGAGAUCGGUUUCUUCUGUCCAUUCUUUAAUCUGAACAGCAAAGGGUGUAAGAGGGAACUCCUGAAGUUCCGCGGCAAAGUCAACGGCAAGAA